CCUACGGGAGGCUGCAGUGGGGAAUAUUGCACAAUGGGCGCAAGCCUGAUGCAGCCAUGCCGCGUGUGUGAAGAAGGCCUUCGGGUUGUAAAGCACUUUCAGCGGGGAGGAAGGCGUUAAGGUUAAUAACCUUGGCGAUUGACGUUACCCGCAGAAGAAGCACCGGCUAACUCCGUGCCAGCAGCCGCGGCAAUACGGAGGGUGCAAGCGUUAAUCGGAAUUACUGGGCGUAAAGCGCACGCAGGCGGUCUGUCAAGUCGGAUGUGAAAUCCCCGGGCUCAACCUGGGAACUGCAUUCGAAACUGGCAGGCUAGAGUCUUGUAGAGGGGGGUAGAAUUCCAGGUGUAGCGGUGAAAUGCGUAGAGAUCUGGAGGAAUACCGGUGGCGAAGGCGGCCCCCUGGACAAAGACUGACGCUCAGGUGCGAAAGCGUGGGGAGCAAACAGGAUUAGAUACCCCUGUAGUC
rnacentral:rRNA from 1 species